AAAAUGCACUAAGGCGCGCGAGAGAGACCUCUCUAAGGAACUCGGCACAUUAGCCUCGUAACUUCGGGAAAAGAGGUGCUCACUUCGGUGAGCCACAGUAAAUUGCGUUUAGCGACUGUUUAACAAAAACACAGCACUCUGCUAAGUCGUUAAGACGACGUAUAGGGUGUGACACGUGACCAAUGCGGAAAGAUUAAGGCAUUUUGUUAGCCGCAAGGCGAAGCUCGGUGCCAAAGUCCCCGUGAAUGUCGGCCGUAACUAUAACGGUCCUAAGGUAGCGAAAUUCCUUGUCGGGUAAGUUCCGACCUGCACGAAUCGUGUAACGACUGAACGACUGUCUCGGAGAGGAUCUCGGCGAAACUGCAACUGCGGUGAAGAUGCCGCAUGCCCGCAGUAGGACGGAAAGACCCUAUGCACCUUUACUGUAAGCUGGUAUUGUGUUCUGAUUAAUAAUGCGUAGCGUAGGUGGGAGGCUUUGAAGUGAGUGCUUCGGUGCUCAUGGAGCCGCAAUGUGAAACACCACUCUUUGCUAAUUAGGAUUCUAACCUCGAUUCCUGUCAACCAGGCGAGGGACAGUGCUUGCGGGUCAGUUUGACUGGGGCGGUUUCCUCCCAAAGAGUAACGGAGGAGCGCGAAGCUUGGCUCAGCACGGUUGGCAACCGUGCGUCGAGCGUAUGGGUAUAAGCCAGGUUAACUGUGAGACCUACAAGUCGAGCAGAUGCGAAAGCAGGCCCAAAUGAUCCGAUGGUUUAAUGUGGAAUUGCCAUCGCUCAACGGACAAAAGGUACGCUAGGGAUAACAGGCUGAUCGGUUCCAAGAGUUCACAUCGACGAACCGGUUUGGCACCUCGAUGUCGGCUCAUCGCAUCCUGGGGCUGGAGAAGGUCCCAAGGGUCCGGCUGUUCGCCGGUUAAAGCGGUACGCGAGCUGGGUUCAGAACGUCGUGAGACAGUUCGGUCCUUAUCCACUGCGGGCGCAGGAAUCUUGAGGGGUUCAUUCUCUAGUACGAGAGGACCGAGAAUGACGCACUUCUGGUGUGGCAGUUGUUCCAUCAGGGGCAUCGCUGCGUAGCCAUGUGCGGAAGAGAUAAGCGCUGAAAGCAUCUAAGUGCCAAGCUCAUCCCAAGAUAUGGAUUCCCGGACGCAAGUCCCUAAAGACCCCCGGCAGACUACCGGGUUGAUAGGUCAGGCAUGUAAGCGUCGCGAGAUGUUUAGUGGACUGAUACUAAUUGGUCGUGCGGCUUGAUCGC
rnacentral:rRNA from 1 species